rnacentral:rRNA from 1 species
GAUGAACGCUGGCGGCGUGCCUAAUACAUGCAAGUCGAGCGAACGGACGAGAAGCUUGCUUCUCUGAUGUUAGCGGCGGACGGGUGAGUAACACGUGGAUAACCUACCUAUAAGACUGGGAUAACUUCGGGAAACCGGAGCUAAUACCGGAUAAUAUUUUGAACCGCAUGAUUCAAAAGUGAAAGACGGUCUUGCUGUCACUUAUAGAUGGAUCCGCGCUGCAUUAGCUAGUUGGUAAGGUAACGGCUUACCAAGGCAACGAUGCAUAGCCGACCUGAGAGGGUGAUCGGCCACACUGGAACUGAGACACGGUCCAGACUCCUACGGGAGGCAGCAGUAGGGAAUCUUCCGCAAUGGGCGAAAGCCUGACGGAGCAACGCCGCGUGAGUGAUGAAGGUCUUCGGAUCGUAAAACUCUGUUAUUAGGGAAGAAAAUAUGUGUAAGUAACUGUGCACAUCUUGACGGUACCUAAUCAGAAAGCCACGGCUAACUACGUG